UUCGACCUGAACUCAGACGUGGUUACCCGCUGA
rnacentral:rRNA from 1 species